ACACUUUCCUGGCAGGGGAAACACCAUGAUCAGGCAGGUGGUGUUCCCAGGGUGAGGCUCAUCCCUUGCACUCUAGGAGUGCUGACCCCUGAGAUUUCCCCAAAUGUGGGAAACCUGAUUGCAUAAUUUGUGGUAGUGGGGGACUGCAUUCGCACUCUCCCCUA
rnacentral:snRNA from 1 species